AAAGAAACCAACCGGGAUUACCUCAGUAACGGCGAGUGAAGCGGUAAGAGCUCAAAUUUGAAAUCUGGCGCCUUCGGCGUCCGAGUUGUAAUUUGCAGAGGAUGCUUCGGGUGCAGCCCCCAUCUAAGUGCCCUGGAACGGGCCGUCAUAGAGGGUGAGAAUCCCGUAUGGGAUGGGGUGUCUGCGUCCGUGUGAAGCUCCUUCGACGAGUCGAGUUGUUUGGGAAUGCAGCUCUAAAUGGGUGGUAAAUUUCAUCUAAAGCUAAAUAUUGGCCGGAGACCGAUAGCGCACAAGUAGAGUGAUCGAAAGAUGAAAAGCACUUUGAAAAGAGAGUUAAACAGCACGUGAAAUUGUUGAAAGGGAAGCGCUUGCGACCAGACUCGCCCACGGGGUUCAGCCGGCUUUCGGGCCGGUGUACUUCCCCGGGGGCGGGCCAGCGUCGGUUUGGGCGGCCGGUCAAAGGCCCCGGGAAUGUAGCGCCCCUCGGGGCGCCUUAUAGCCCGGGGUGCAAUGCGGCCUGCCUGGACCGAGGAACGCGCUUCGGCACGGACGCUGGCAUAAUGGUCGUAAGCGAC
rnacentral:rRNA from 1 species